CAUUGUACAAGCACAAAAGAAAUGUAGCUCUUUUCGGAGUGUGUUAUAGUCUUUUGUUAUAUCCAGUGGUUGGGACUGAGGAACUCUGCACGACUAGCUUUGUGCAUAGGUUGCUGGCAUAAUGGCCUUAAGCGACCCGUCUUGAAACACGGACCAAGGAGUCUAACAUGCCUGCGAGUAUUUGGGUCAUAAACUCAUAUGCGAAAUGAAAGUAAUAUGUCGACACCUCUGUCAUCGAGGGCAUCGACGCCCGGACCAAAGUCUAUUUGACAAUGCAUCCGAGGUAAAGCAUGCAUGUUGGGACCCGAAAGAUGGUGAACUAUGCCUGAAUAGGGUGAAGCCAGAGGAAACUCUGGUGGAGGCUCGUAGCGAUUCUGACGUGCAAAUCGAUCGU
rnacentral:rRNA from 1 species